rnacentral:tRNA from 1 species
GCACCCGUAGCUCAAUUGGAUAGAGUAUGUGACUUCGGAUCACAGGGUUGCAGGUUCGAGCCCUGCCGGGUGCA